CUAUGCGCCUUGCCAGCCCGCUCAGGUGUGCCAGCAGCCGCGGUAAUACGGAGGAUGCGAGCGUUAUCCGGAUUUAUUGGGUUUAAAGGGUGCGUAGGCGGAGUGUCAAGUCAGCGGUAAAAUUCGGGGCUCAACCCCGUCGUGCCGUUGAAACUGACACCCUUGAGUGAGUGAGAAGUAAGCGGAAUGCGUGGUGUAGCGGUGAAAUGCAUAGAUAUCACGCAGAACGCCGAUUGCGAAGGCAGCUUACCGGCGCUCAACUGACGCUGAGGCACGAAAGUGCGGGUAUCGAACAGG
rnacentral:rRNA from 1 species